CUACAGAGGGUGCAAGCGUUAAUCGGAUUUACUGGGCGUAAAGCGCGCGUAGGCGGCUAAUUAAGUCAAAUGUGAAAUCCCCGAGCUUAACUUGGGAAUUGCAUUCGAUACUGGUUAGCUAGAGUGUGCGAAAGGAUGGUAGAAUUCCAGGUGUAGCGGUGAAAUGCGUAGAGAUCUGGAGGAAUACCGAUGGCGAAGGCAGCCAUCUGGCCUAACACUGACGCUGAGGUGCGAAAGCAUGGGGAGCAAACAGAAUUAGAUACCCUAGUAGUCC
rnacentral:rRNA from 1 species